UACAGAGGUCUCAAGCGUUGUUCGGAAUUACUGGGCGUAAAGGGUGCGCAGGCCGCGCGGGCAGUCAAAUGUGUAAUUCAGGGGCUCAACCCCUGCACUGCGCUUGAUACUUCCGCGCUCGAGCUUUGGAGAGGAGUCUGGAAUUCUCGGUGUAGCAGUGAAAUGCGUGGAUAUCGAGAAGAACACUUAGGGCGAAGGCAAGACUCUGGACAAAUGCUGACGCUCAUGCACGAAGGCUAGGGUAGCGAACGGG
rnacentral:rRNA from 3 species